GACGAACGCUGGCGGCGUGCCUAAUACAUGCAAGUAGAACGCACAGUUUAUACCGUAGCUUGCUACACCAUAGACUGUGAGUUGCGAACGGGUGAGUAACGCGUAGGUAACCUGCCUGGUAGCGGGGGAUAACUAUUGGAAACGAUAGCUAAUACCGCAUAAUAUUAAUUAUUGCAUGAUAAUUGAUUGAAAGAUGCAACUGCAUCACUACCAGAUGGACCUGCGUUGUAUUAGCUAGUAGGUGAGGUAACGGCUCACCUAGGCGACGAUACAUAGCCGACCUGAGAGGGUGAUCGGCCACACUGGGACUGAGACACGGCCCAGACUCCUACGGGAGGCAGCAGUAGGGAAUCUUCGGCAACGGACGAAAGUCUGACCGAGCAACGCCGCGUGAGUGAAGAAGGUUUUCGGAUCGUAAAGCUCUGUUGUAAGAGAAGAACGGGUGUGAGAGUGGAAAGUUCACACUGUGACGGUAUCUUACCAGAAAGGGACGGCUAACUACGUG
rnacentral:rRNA from 1 species